UUCUAGCCCUGAUGGGAACGGCAUCCUUUUGUGGCGGCGUUCGCCAUAAAAGAUAUAGUGAACAGCAGGAUUAGCU
rnacentral:sRNA from 1 species